rnacentral:rRNA from 1 species
AUGUUGCAGGAGGAUGGGGGUAUUGAUGAAGAUGUGAACCAUCGAAUCAAAGCCGGAUGGAUGAAGUGGCGCCAAGCUUCUGGCAUUCUCUGUGACAAGAGAGUGCCCCAAAAGCUAAAAGGCAAGUUCUACUGGACGGCGGUUCGACCCGCAAUGUUGUAUGGCGCGGAGUGUUGGCCGACUAAAAGGCGACAUGUUCAACAGUUAGGUUUGGCGGAGAUGCGUAUGUUGAGAUGGAUGUGUGGCCACACGAGGAAGGAUCGAGUCCGGAAUGAUGAUAUACGAGAUAGAGUUGGGGUAGCACCAAUUGAGGAGAAGCUUGUCCAACAUCGUCUGAGAUGGUUUGGGCAUAUUCAGCGCAGGCCUCCAGAAGCUCCAGUGCAUAGCGGAUGGCUAAAGCGUGCGAAGAAUGUCAAGAGAGGGCGGGGUCGACCGAAUUUGACAUGGGAGGAGUCCGUUAAGAGAGACCUGAAGGAUUGGAGUAUCGACAAAGAGCUAGCUAUGGACAGGGGUGAGUGGAAGCUUGCUAUCCAUGUGCCAGAGCCAUGA